UCAUAAUAAACAUCAUAUAGUUUCUCGGAAUACAGACUGAGAGAGCUGCUGAAAACAAACACACACCCGAUGUCAUGCUGACUAGUGUUUGAUUAAGUCAAGUUUAAGUCACAGUUAUUCUGUCCUUAUUGGAAAAACAUAGACAUCGCUGUUUGGAAAUUUAAAAUAGUUUUUUUUAGCUCUGGAUGAAUGGAAGUGGGUGAAAUGCCUGCUGGGACAUGUGCGUCUCUCUGCUGGAUUUUACUCUCUGUCUGCCUCCUGUUUGCCUCUACAGAUGGGAAAAUUAUCAGAGCUGAGCCUGGACAGAACGUCACUCUGCCAUGUCAAACUCCACAUAUCAGCGUCCCCAUCAGAGCUGUGGAGUGGUUCAGACUUGACCUGCAGGAAGGACAUGUCCUCAUGUACCAGGAUGAGCAGUUUAUUUCAUUGAACCAGCUUCCAUCGUUUGUGAACCGGGUGGAUCUGCAGGACAGACGGAUGAAGGACGGAGACGUGUCUUUGACUCUGAGGGACGUGACGAGUGACGACACUGGAACAUUUCAGUGUUACGUCGUCCAGAGAGGAACAGAUGGCAGGAAAAGCAUUGUUGAUCAUAUCAGCACCGUCUACCUGAGAGUUGUAGCGAGCAGCGA